ACGGCGGCGCAACGGCGGAAAGAGUGCCGCGGCUUCAGAGGGUGCGUGUGGGCUACCGGCGGCGAGAUAGGGGCUGGGAUUUGGGGGGUGAGGUCGCCGGAGGGAAGGGGUGCUAGUCGGCCGGGCGGUGUCGCGCACGGCAGCGCGACGGCGG